rnacentral:rRNA from 1 species
UACCAGCACCCCGAGUGGUCGGGACGUUUUAUUGGGCCUAAAGCAUCCGUAGCCGGUUCUGCAAGUCUUCCGUUAAAUCCACCUGCUUAACAGAUGGGCCGCGGAAGAUACUAUAGAGCUAGGAGGCGGGAGAGGCAAGCGGUACUCGAUGGGUAGGGGUAAAAUCCUCUGAUCCAUUGAAGACCACCAGUGGCGAAGGCGGCUUGCCAGAACGCGCUCGACGGUGAGGGAUGAAAGCUGGGGGAGCAAAGCCGG